AAUAUGAUUUAGUCCAAUAAAUUUGUUUCUGUUGAAUAGGAUAUAGAAAAUUUAGAUAGUAUGCUUCACGACGUAUCAUCUGGUGAGAGGAAGUUUCCAAAUGUUAUCAUUACCAUAUCAUCUCGGUAGUUUAAAAAUAAAUAUUUAAUUUACAAUUACUAAUCAUGUGAACUUUGUGUGGCUUUAAGGACCACCCUAUUUCUUAAUGAAACUCCGCCACUCUUUGUAAGUAUAUGCAAUUUUAAAGAAUUUCUUGUUAUAUAUUGAACUUAGGGUUUUUGUUUUUGUUGAACAGCAUAUAGAAAAUUCAGUGAUCAUGAGCGAUUAUGUAAUAUAUGGUGAUCCUGCCCUACGAUAAGUUUCUAGAUGCUGAUACCAUCGGUCGAUAUUGAAGAACUUUAAUUUUUCUCAAAAGAGAAAUACAGAGUUGGCCACUUUAACGAAUGUCCACCCUCUUUCUUGGAUCUCCUCGAGAGAAUGCGAACAACUUGGUUGGUAUGCUAACUUUAUUUUAUUUUAGAAUGUGCUUUUUCUGAAUUAUGUUUUUUUUUUAUUUCAUCAAUGGUGAUGAUGACGAAAUGGUAGUCGACGCAUGGACCGACACACGUGAUAAACAAAAUUCGAUCAUUAAUACAACUUUGGUUGAUAUACUACCACGUUUAAUAACACACUGUUGGAGGUAAAACUCAUUAUUUUAAUUUUAAAAGAAAUAAAAUCACAAAUAAUUUGAUUAAAUCUUUUAUUUCAAUUUGCCAGAGUCGUUGACUUCAUUGAUGAAAUUAGGUAUAUUAAAUCCCAUGAUUGCAUAUAAUUUUGUAAAGAUUAGUUUUGUUGGCAAUGACAUAUAGAGUCUUCAAAAACUAUCAGAGUUCGUCAAAAGUGACAUAACUCAACUAUCACUAUCAAAAGUAGAGCUGUCAAUUUGACAAGCCCCUUAAUUAUUAGCCACAACCCACAUGUUGGAGGGGUCAAAAAAUUUUAUAAUUUAAAAGGCCUAAAAUAGAAGGCCCCCUAAAAUUUUGUAGGCUUAGUGGGCCUAUAGACCCACAUUUUCAAAAAACAAAAUUGACAACUCUAAUCAAAAGUGACAUAACUCAUUCAAGCCUUUUAGAAACCUUUUCCUUACAAUGAAGAUGGGAAUAUUAUUACUGCUCUAAUCAGAAUUUGCAUGAAGAUAUAUUCUAUCAAGAUUAAUAUUGCUCUAAUCAGGAUUUUCUCUUAUGACCUCUACAAUAUAUAAACAAACACUAUUUAGAGAGUUCACUUUGUAUAUACAAUGUGAAGGUCACAAGAGACUUAAGAAUUUGUAUCUUCGAUUUGACAUGGAUUGAUAUGAGAGCAAUAUUAACCGCACUAUUAAUCUUUAUAAACUAUUAUUCUAACCAUGUCGUUGAACCUUCCCUCUAUCGUUUUGGGAGGUUUCUAGAAGGCUUGAAUGACUGCGUUGAAUCUUCCCUCUAUUCCUUGUGGGGAGGUUUCUAGAAGGUGACUGAUGUGACCUUGAUAGUUUCUUUACAAACUUUUAUGUAACAAUAAGAUACCUAACUUUGUCAACAAAGGCAAUGAUUCAGUCAAAUUGAUUGACUACUAUUUUUGCAACAAUCGAAAUUGCUGUCUCAAGAAUAUAGAAUGAAAUAUGUUAUUAAAACUAAAAAUUUAAUUAUAUUCUUUGUGUGAUUUUAUUUCUUUUAUAAUUAAAGUAAGAGUUUUACUUUUUACUUCAAAAUUGUCAUUAAACGUGGUACUAUAUCAAUUAAAGUUGUAUUAACGAUCACUGUUAAUCAUAUAUAUCAGUCCAGCAUCCGUCAACGACCAAUUCGUCAUUGUCGUGAUUGAUGAACUACAAAACAUAAGGGAGAAAAACAACAUUCUAGAACAAAAUAAAGUUAGUUAGAACUCUCAUUUGGGAAAGAUUUCUAGAAGGCUUGCUUAAAUGAUUGAUGUCAUUUUUGAUGUUAUUGUGUACUGAAACGUACCCUCUCUUUUGAUAUAUUUGACUUUCAUAUUUUCUCAAUUUUCGUAGCUAUUCUUAACCUAAACUUUCUGCCUCGUAACCAAUUUGAGUCAUCAGUUAAAGUAAUUUUAGAGAUGCAAGUUACUUAAGAUA